UGGGGUAUGGUGUAAUUGGCAACACGGCUGAUUCUGGUUCAGUUGUUCUAGGUUCGAGUCCUAGUACCCCAG
rfam:Aeromicrobium marinum DSM 15272 chromosome, whole genome shotgun sequence.